AGUGAAGAAGCUUGGCAAACAUGUGACCUCCAGAAGAGGACUAAGCCAUGACUGGACUGUCAGACUGCAGAAUGGGACACGGCUCCCUUCACCUGGACCCUGGAUUUUUCAUUACUUCAGAGAAACUUGUUAGUGGGAAAAUGAACCAUAUUCAAAUGACUACAGAUUAUGAACCAUUUGUUGUUGUUGGAAAAUCCCCCCAGCCCUUUCCCCUGAGUCAGGAAUUAUGAUUUAUUGGUUCACUCUGAUUUGUUUCAGUUUUAUGUUCGCAUCUAUUGCAACUAAUCGAUCUGAGCCCGUCACUCGUGUCUCAGUUUCCCCACCUAGCUCCCUUCUCGGUACCUUUGAUUUUCCUCAGAGUCUCCUUCAGAGCCCUGGUUUGUUGGCACCAAUAACCAGGUCUGAUUUCAAAGUCAGAAGAUGUGUCCUCCAGCUGCUGGAACUUUCCUUUUUCACAAGAAAGAAACAGUUUUUCCCAAUAAUCAUUAUCAUAUUUUACUAUGAAUUUGUUGCCACUGAAAAUGCUGAAUUGAGAGGCUUGGAGAAUGAAUCUCUGUGUAUCCAGCCACAGAAUAGCUGCAGCCUCAGCAAUGGCUGUGCAAGCUUCCCCGAGUGUCCUGUCAAUGUGCUUCAGCCCUGAUUUACUGAGGACAGGAGUUCAGUCCCCAUGGGCAAUUCACUCCUUGGCCUCCAUGCUUCAGUGACUAAUAGAUUCCAAUGUUCCUGCUGGUCUUUGUUCUGUGGACAUCUGACCACCUGCAGCUGGACCAAGGUCCACUCCCUCAUGACAAGUUCAUUCCUUACCAGUUUCUGAAUGGUCAUCAGAAGAGAACCCCAGUGCCCUGGAGGUGACAGGCCCAUACUGUGUGUGUCCCUGGAGUCCCGGGGCAUCGUCCCUGCCCUAAGGCUGUGGCUGCACUGGGGAGUUUACAGUGGCAGUCUCUAGUGGAGCUGCUGGAAGCCGACGGGAGAGAACUCUCCACCCUCAACAUGCAGCCAUAGCCAUGUUGGCAGCAGAAGCUCUCCCAGCAACAUAGCACUGUCCACACCGGUGCUUAGGUCAGUGUAACUUGUGUCACUCGGGGGGUGGCUUAUUCACACCCCUGAGCGACAUACUUUCUACUGACACAAGGGGGAGUGUAGACGCAGCCUUCGCAGAGAAGCAAUUAAGAAAACCGCUUUAGUUUUGUAGGAAAUGCAGGAACCCCAGGUUUGUAAUAAAUCAAAGGAGAUUCCGACCCCAUGAGUCACCUUCACCACUUUGCAGUUGUGCCCUGGGAUAGUUGUUUUGUCUCAGCCUGUGGCCAGAAUAAUGAGGUGUGAAGGGGAAGGAGCCACGCACCUGUCUAUGGUCCUUCUGACCUCCUAGAGGGGAGAAAGGAGAAAAGACGCUCAGUCCCCCAUGCCACUCACACAGGGAGUGGGAACUUUGGUGGUAAUUUAAAGAGAAUCAAGGGCCUCAAAGAGAGACAAAGGUGUUAACGUGACCCUGUCACUGUCCAACAUUAGAAAUGGAAAAUAUUCAAUAAGACUUUUCUUUUUACAGAAUACCUUGUGCUCUUUCUCUUUAGCUGGGAGAGUUUUUAGAAGGAAAGUUCCUUAUGUGACAGUCUCUUAGAUGGUAUUUAAGAUGGUAACAGCUGUCCUUCUGGGGAAAUAGAAGAGGUUAGAGGAGAUGGGCUGGAGCUGUCAUUGUUGUGGUGUUUCUUGUUAACGUCCAAUCCCAUUUCCUAGGUGGCAAGAUAAGGCAAACACACACCACAAAUGGGGAAAGAAAAUCACAGCAAAGAUAGAAGAUGCAGCUUCUGGCUCUGGUGUUGACUUUCUCUUGCAGCUUCACUGCCAGAGAAACACAAGCCUAGCACAAGGCCUUGCCAGCCACUCCGAGGCCUAGCAAACUUGUUCCACCAUCAGGCUGCUUGGAGCGUGGCAGUUAGCUGUCAUUCUGGUCACAGGCUUACAGCAGUGUUGCAAAAUAUGCAGUCUUGGCCAGCUAAGUCAAAUUUUGAUUGAACAGAAGCAGAAGCAGAAGGAGAGGGAUAGGAGAAA